rnacentral:rRNA from 1 species
AUUGAACGCUGGCGGCAUGCCUUACACAUGCAAGUCGAACGGCAGCACGGGAGCAAUCCUGGUGGCGAGUGGCGAACGGGUGAGUAAUAUAUCGGAACGUGCCUGGUCGUGGGGAUAACGUAGCGAAAGCUACGCUAAUACCGCAUACGAUCUACGGAUGAAAGCGGGGGAUCGCAAGACCUCGCGCGAUUGGAGCGGCCGAUAUCAGAUUAGGUAGUUGGUGAGGUAAAGGCUCACCAAGCCGACGAUCUGUAGCUGGUCUGAGAGGACGACCAGCCACACUGGGACUGAGACACGGCCCAGACUCCUACGGGAGGCAGCAGUGGGGAAUUUUGGACAAUGGGCGCAAGCCUGAUCCAGCAAUGCCGCGUGCAGGAUGAAGGCCU